rnacentral:rRNA from 1 species
CCUACGGGUGACAGCAGUGAGGAAUAUUGGUCAAUGGACGAGAGUCUGAACCAGCCAAGUAGCGUGAAGGAUGACUGCCCUAUGGGUUGUAAACUUCUUUUAUAUGGGAAUAAAACGUUCCACGUGUGGGAUUUUGUAUGUACCAUAUGAAUAAGGAUCGGCUAACUCCGUGCCAGCAGCCGCGGUAAUACGGAGGAUCCGAGCGUUAACCGGAUUUAUUGGGUUUAAAGGGAGCGUAGGUGGAUUGUUAAGUCAGUUGUGAAAGUUUGCGGCUCAACCGUAAAAUUGCAGUUGAAACUGGCAGUCUUGAGUACAGUAGAGGUGGGCGGAAUUCGUGGUGUAGCGGUGAAAUGCUUAGAUAUCACGAAGAACUCCGAUUGCGAAGGCAGUUCACUGGACUGCAACUGACACUGAGGCUCGAAAGUGUGGGUAUCAAACAGGAUUAGAUACCCUGGUAGUC